AUAUUUACAUGGCAAGAGGGUUACCAUGAUGGCAAAGGUGGUUUUCUCAGUGUGAGGCCCAUCCAUUGCACUCUGGAUGUAGUGACCUCUGUGACUUCCCCAAAAGUGGAAAACUUGCCUGCACGAUUGGUGGUAUUAGGGGACUGCAAUCACACCUCCCCCUA